AAAUUUCAUAUGCAUGCUAUGUUAUGGAUUGUGAUUGAGUAUGAAUUAUUUCAUAAUUUUUGGAAUUGAUUAUGUUUGGGUUUGAGCUUGGUCUUGCUGUUGACCUUUUGUGUGCUCCCUCUUGCCAUGUUUUGACUUCUUUGGUCUAUGAAAUGACAAUGAUGCAUGUUAUGAACUUGUGACCAAUUGUGCUUGCUUCUUAAAUGCUUGAACUUGACUUUGGUUGACCAUUU
rnacentral:lncRNA from 1 species